GACCAACUAAACGAGGGAAAAAUAGAAGAAGACUAUUCACUCGGUUUGGUUGUCCCGUGAACGAGCGCAAUGGCACGUACGAUAGAACUAACACCGGCUCGUAAAAUUUCUAGUCCUACCUCGAAGGAAAAGCAGAGUUCUCUCUCUCUCAUUCUUUCUCUCUCUUUCUCUCCAAUGUAGACACGGAGGCCACAAUUAACCCGAAUCGAGAGCUACAAGACUCCCUCGUUUCUAUCUACACUGACUACGAACGUAUAUUCACUCUCUCUUUCUCUCUCUCUCUUUUCUCUCUUUCUAUCUCUCUCUUGUAUACGUACACACACAAACGAACGUGUGUGCUUGCAUACACGCAGCAUCUUCGAAGGAGUUUGAACCCCCGUGCAAGUUUCAACUUUGCGAGACGUAUAUAAACGUGGAUGCUACAAGGGGGGGGGUGGAUGGAAGGAAUGAGUGUGUAUGGAACACCACCCACCACCCCCCAACGAGAUUCCACAUAGGUGUAUUUGUAAAACGAGAAGGAGAAAGGGAAGAAGGGGAAGAAGAAGAAGAA
rnacentral:lncRNA from 1 species